rnacentral:precursor_RNA from 11 species
UACAGGUGAAAAUCAUUGUUGGCCAGAAGACCAGAUUAUUUGUUGCUGUGCAAUUGUUUUGUAUAAAAUUGCAAGAGAAAUAGUCUGACAUUCUGACUUAUAAAAUAACAGCUGGAGUAU